rnacentral:misc_RNA from 1 species
GGAAGUAAAAGUCGUAAACAGGUUUCCGUAGGUGAACCUGCGGAAGGAUCAUUAAAAAAUGUGGUUACCAAUUAUUGUACUAAUUAAUCAUCCUACCCUUUGUGAAUUUGUUUGUAUGAAUUUUUUAAAUGGGUCUUUCCCUAAGUUGGAUUGUUAGUAAAAUACAAAAAGACUUAGGGGAAUGACUUUUUUAAAAGACUUUUUUUUAAUUAAAACUUUUGUAUUCAUUUGUCUAAAAUUUAUUUUUAUAAUAUAAAAACAACUUUUGACAAUGGAUCUCUUGGUUCUCGCAACGAUGAGAACGCAGCAAAAUGCGAUAAGUAGUGUGAAUUGCAGAAUACGUGAAUCAUCGAAUCUUCGAACGCAUAUUGCACUCUUUUAGUUUACUAAAAAAAGUAUGUCUGUUUGAGUAUCAGUAAAAUAUUCUCACAAACAUAUAUUGUUUGUGGUAAUGAGUGUUUUACAACGAUAAACAAGUUGUUUCACUUUAAAUUCUUUUUAAUGAAUUUUCUACCAAUUCAUAAAUUAAAAUUGGAUAAAAUUUUCCUUUAACGAGGAAUAACCUAAACAAUUUUAAAUUUUUUGGUUUAUAAAAUCAUAAAGGAAUCUAUACAUAAAUAACUUGAUCUCAAAUCAGAUAAGAGUACCCGCUGAACUUAAGCAUAUCAAUAAGCGGAGGAAAAGAAACUAACAAGGAUUCCCUUAGUAACGGCGAGUGAAGCGGGAAGAGCUCAAAUUUGAAAUCUUCAAGGUUUGACCUUGACGAAUUGUAGUUUAUAGAAGUGUUUUCUGUUGGAGUUUUGGUAAAAGUUCUUUGGAAUAGGACAUCAUAGAGGGUGAGAAUCCCGUAUUUGACCAUGACUUUCCAGCUGUGUGAUACACUUUCAAAGAGUCGGAUUGUUUGGGAAUGCAGUCCAAAAUGGGUGGUAAAUUUCAUCUAAAGCUAAAUAUUGGCGAGAGACCGAUAGCGAGCAAGUACCGUGAGGGAAAGAUGAAAAGAACUUUGAAAAGAGAGUUAAACAGUACGUGAAAUUGUCAAAAGGGAAGCGUUUGACACCAGUGUUGUUUUCUCGAAAAUCAAUUUAAUGAGUUCUUGUUUUUAAGUUAUUGUGACUUUAUCAGCGCAUUUCUUAUUUUACUUGACUCAUUGAAUGCACUUUUCGUUUAACAAGUCAACAUCAAUUUCUUUGGUGGUAAAAAGUUUAAAGGAAGGUGGCUUGGACUUCGGUUCAAGUGUUUAUAGCCUUUUUUCUAUGCCAUCGGAGAGAUUGAGGUCUGCAGCGUAGAUCCUUCGGGGUUAGAUACCUUUGUGCUAAGUUAUAGUUUUUUAUAGACAACUUGUUGACUAUAAUUAACCCUGUAAUUUACUCGCUUAGGCUAUUUUACCUACGCUUAGGAUGUUGAG